AUUCUAGAUACCUUCAUCUAUGAUAGGGAAGACUAUGAGACACCAUUACAUGAAAUAUGAGCUCAUAAACUUUUUGAAGAAUCUGAAAUCUACACUGAUUUUGGAAACCAAAAAAUUGAGUCUUGUGAUUCUGGGAAUCACUAAAUUAUGUCUGUUAUAUUUAUUUGAAUACACUGAGGUAUUGUUGUUUAUUUAAAUAUUUUAUUUAUUCAGAAUGUCAUGAAUUGUAAGUGUUUUAAUCUUAUUUUUAUUAGAGUAUACACACACACACAAAAUCUUAUUUUAAAUUCAUUAUGGAUACCAUGACUGAUUUUCGGAUUACAACGCCAGUUGAGAACAACAUUAUUUACAAAACUCUAAGUUUGUUUUAUUCACUAGGAUUAUCAUCUCAUUAAAAGUGUUGUUUUCAAAGCACAAGGAAGAAGUUUUUGGAAUUGAGGAGGCUUGAAAACUUAGUUACCUUUAAAUACAUUUUUAGCUUUGUUAGUACUCAGAAUAAUAUGUCGAAUGUGACUGAUUACGUUAUACUUUUAGUGUCGGUUAUUUUUAGAUACCUAUAUUUGAGAGUAAUAUUUUUACUUAUGUAAAGACUUAUUUAUUUGACUUUAUUUAUUAUACAUGAGGUAUUUUCGGACUAAUAUAAUUUUGAGAUUUUAUAUUCUUUUUAGUAUGAGUUGUUAUUUUAAUAAAGGCGUUAUGGUGGUUGUAGUAAUAGUGGUGAUUGUGGUGAUGAUAAAUUAAAUCUUUAAAAUAUUUAAUUUUCUAUUUGAUAAAUCUUAUAGAGAUUUUAUAAUUAAACGAGAAUUUAAUUUGAAUUUAAAAUAUUUUAAUCUUGACCUUACAUUUUAAUAUAAUGGAUGAGAAUGAUCAUUCUCAUUCUCACAUAAGAAGAUCAUUCUCACCUAAAACGUCCUUCGAUCUUUCUUUAUGUAUAUGAAACGUCUUCCUUUUUCUUUCUAUAUAAAGGGGAUUAACAACCAACACCAUAAAUAUUUGUAAAAAAAAAAACCCAUUGAAUUCCUUUGUCAUUAACUUUAAUGUAAGGAUAUUAUAAUAAUUUAUGUUUUAAUUUUAAUGUUUACGAGAGAGAAAAAAUGAUUGAUAAUUUAAUGCUUAGAGAAAAUUGUCUAAAAAUUAAUGUGGACAAAGAUGAGAGAAGAAAGAUAAAUAAUUAUUUUAAAAUUGAAUCAUAAAUUAAUAUAAUAUCCUUAAAUUAACUUAUUAUACAAAGGAAUUUAUUGAUUUUUUUUACAAAUAUUUAUGGUAUUCCUUAUAAAUACUUAAGUAUAAAAGUUAUAAUUUUUAUUUUAUAUCGAAUAAUGUGGAUUAACUAUUGACUUAUUAAGUUGAUUCCUGUCCUAAUAUUACGAUCGAAUAGAUUAUCAAUUCGAAUUCGAAUCUAAUAACAGUGCUCAAUAGCAACUUCAUCUAAUAUCUACAUGACAUGCCGCAUCAUUAAAAUUGAAAAUUUGAUCGGAUAUUUGAUCAAAAACAGAUCCAUACAAGUGAUAUCUUUUGAAAGAGAUCCAUUUUGGUAAAUAUUUAGAGAGGUAAAGGUCGAAGUAAAGGUAGAAGUAAAGAGACCCAUGUAAAAACUGACCCAAAUUGGUCAAAUAGCCGUUGUAAGUUAUAACCACGUGGAGUGGAGCAGCGACUGGUAAAGGUAGAAGUAACCAUAGCGAACGUCGUUUUAUUUCUUAUUCCCCACGUUUCAAAAAAACCGUGAAAUUUUCUUAAUCUGUUGGCCUUCUUCCACGAUUCCUCUGACCUUUCUUCUUCACUUUUAAUUUCUGGUCUUCGGUGAUACCCAAUCUAUCUUCCGUUCAAAUCCCAAACCCCCUUCGCAUCCAAUGCCCUAGUUUCGCUCCAUUCUCUCCGGUUCCUCCCCACGAUGUCCAGCGACACCUCCUUCGCGGACCGCAAGCUCUGCGGUUUCCUCUGUACGGUUCUCACACUCACUCCCCGCGACGACUCAGACACCACCGACAUACCCUUCCCCGAGCCAUGCGAAAUCUUCGGCGAAGGGGGCGAGGUCGGCUUCCGGACCCCGAACGGCGUCGUUCUGGGCCCGGUGCUCGAUUCGUUGCAAUGCGGCGGUGGCGGCGGUGGCGGCUCCAACAAGAUCAAGAGAAGGAACAAGAUUGGAAUGGUGAACGGGAGCGUGAGCGUGGUUCACCAGCUCCACGCCAUGGUCACUCGCAAGUGCGCCAGAAUCGACGCUCGCGUGGUGUGCGUUGAAGCGCUUCCUAGGGUUGUGGUGCUGGUUGACGUGUAUGUCCCCGUUCAGGUAUGGAGUGGCUGGCAGUUUCCGAGAUCGGGACCCGUCGCUGGCGCCGUUUUUCGCCAUUUGAGGUUAGCUUCUUCUUUCUCGCCUUCGAAUUCUUUGUAUUUAUGUUUAGGGAUUUAGUUACUAAUAACAUUGCAAUGUGUAGAGAAAGAUCACAUGAACGAUUUUGGUGAAUUCUGCAUAAGUAAUAGUUUGCCAUACUGUAGUUGUUUGAGGUUUUAAUUUUUAAACUGUGGUUGAGUGGUAUUUAUUGGUGUAUGUUUUGAUUAAAGUUUGAAAUCAUAGUGUAGCGUGGUUUUACAGUUUGAGCAAAGUUUUUGAAAUUCUGCACUACUUAGUCCUUUGACAGUUAGUCAGUUACCAUGCUAAAUUUGGCAUUUUUUAAAAAAAAAAUAAAAUUAAGGAAAUAAAUAACUAGUUUAGCUAGAUGUCAUGGUUUUAAUUGAAGGACUACAAGUACAUACUACUAGAGAUGGUGUAACUGUUUCAUGUGAUGUUGUCUGCGAUUUGAAUCUUUGGUUAUCUUAUUGCUUGUUUGGUCACGUGUGUUGGUGUGUAUUUAUGUGUAAAUCGAGAAGCUGUGAAUUGUAGCUUUCAUGUUAUUCUACAAUUUGACAUGAGAUUUUACAUGUAUAACAUAAAUCUGAACAGACUAUAAAUACACUAUAAUUAUUUAGUGGUGUGGAUGAGAUGGAAGAUAGUUGUAACCUAUGUAACUGAUGUAAUGUUCUUGCAAGGGUAGUUGCCGGAUUCUUUUAGCUACUCUGCAUACUAGAGAGUAGAGACUAUUGCCUUGCAAACACGGUAACUUUGUGGUCACAUGUUUCAUUCCUGAUGGGUUAUAUGAAUAUCAUGACAAUUAUUGAUGCAUUGUGUUGAUUUGCAAAAACAUUGUUUUUUCUCUUUUGUACAAGAUGAGAGAAAACUCAACAUUUCUUUCUCUUUCCAUUUCUAUUUUUAAAGGGGGGGGGGGGGGGGGGGGGGGGGGGGUUAAAAUGCAUCUCAGAUCAUAAGAUCCUUCCUAAAAUGCAAAUACAUAACUCAUAAUAAAGAUUAAAAUUCAAUACAUAACACUCAACUCAAAAUAGGUUCAUAAGUCAUAACAUAACUCAUAGUAAGUUCAUAUUACUUAAUACAUGCACACUAAACUAGGAGAUCAUUCAAAUUAAAAUCAGGAAAGUCAUCUGUCAUCCUCCAGAUGAUCUUCGUCCUCUUUAAUGGCAUUUCCUCUACCUUCAUCAUCAUCAUCAACAAUUGGAGGAACCUCCAAAUCAUCUACUGGUGCACCACCACCUACUAGCUUCUUCUCCUGCUUCAACUAAGAUAGCUUCAUCUAAAGCAUCCAAUUCUAAAUUUGCUUCGUUCUCCACCACAACCCAUUCUUCAUCAGAAGCUUUGGGGGAAAGUUUCAAAAGAAUUUAUAUGAUACAUUGGUAAAAUAUGCAUUCUUAGCUAGUUUCGUAUUACACUACAAAUUGAUCAUUUUAUCAAACCUAAUACCAUCUCUAACAUGAUCAUACAAGAUCACUCACUGGUUUUAUUCUCGGAAUUCUGUAAACAAUAAAUUAAAUUGUCUGCCUUCAUUUUCCUGUGUGAAUAUACUUAACGGAUGUCUUUGGCUGUCUUAGUUAGCUAAUAGCUAAAUGUUUAUGCAGCUGUGAUUGGAAUGAGAGACGUUCAAUGCUUUCAUAUCCAGACUAUUGUAGGAAGACUUAUGGAGCAAAUGAGAGCAUUUGGAACCUUUCUGAUUGUCAUGUACUUGGUUGCAAGCUCCAUUCCGGUGUGAGCAAUUCUUCAAGGAAAAUACUAUUUCAACUUCAUGAAAUUUUUAAGGCACUACCUGGUGUAGGAAAGCGGCAGACAUUUAAUAGUUCCAAGAUAAUACCUAUGGAUAACAUUUGCAGAUCAGGCAUUUGGGAGUUAUCUGAUGAUAUUUUAACUAAGAUUUUAGCUUCCCUGGGCCCAAUGGACCUCACUAGGGUUUCUGCAACAUGUCAUCAUUUAAGAUCCUUGGCUGCUUCGGUAAUGCCUUAUACCAAGUUAAAUCUGUUUCCUCAUCAGAGGACAGCAGUUGAGUGGAUGUUGCAUCGUGAGCGAAAUGCUGAGCUUUUGCCACAUCCGUUAUUUGUAGCUCUCUCAACUGAAGAUGGCUUUAGUUUCCAUGUAAAUACUGUAACUGGUGAUAUUGUUACUGGGGAAGCUCCCACCGUCAAGGAUUUUCGUGGAGGAAUGUUUUGUGACGAGCCUGGCUUGGGUAAGACUGUAACAGCUCUCUCUCUUAUUAUGAAGACGCGAGGUACAUUGGCAGACCCGCCAGAUGGGGCACAAGUAGUCUGGUGUCAACAUAAUGGUAAUCAGAAAUGUGGAUAUUACGAGGUCAGUGUUAGUGGUAAUCACAUCACUGGUUGUACUACCUUGGGUAAGAGGGAUGUGUGCCAAGAUACCAGCAGAACUAAUGAUAACCAUGAUUACUCCUCCAAAAGAGCCAGAUUGAUAGAUCCUGAUCAGCAAAUAACUAAACUUCAUGAUUCAUGUUCCAGGGAAGAAAACAAAUCACCUGUUGAUGCAUGUUUCAAGGAAUCUAUGCAUUCAAAUCAGUUCACUGGGAGUUUGAGUCGCAUAAAGAAAAAUCUACAUUUCACAUUUGAAGAUGAAGCUAUGAUUUCCAAGGAAAGAGAAAUUGGUGAAGGAUUAAUUAAAGCAAAGCAUGCAUUAGAUGUUACAUCUCAUGUAUCUCAAAACAAGUCGCCUGGGAAGCCUAAAGGUGACUGUUUUGAGUACAAUGAUACAUGGAUUCAGUGUGAUGCUUGUCACAAGUGGCGAAAGCUUGUAGACAAUAGUAUGGCUAAUUCUAGUGCAGCAUGGUUUUGUAGUAUGAACACUGACCCUCUGUAUCAAAGUUGUAGUGUCCCUGAACAACAUUUUCAUAAUAUCUGUAAGAUAACACACUUGCCAGGGUUUCAUUUGAAAGGAACUUGUGGAGGUGAGAAACAAAAUGUUUCUUUUUUCACUAGCGUGCUUAAGGAGCACUACUCCUUGAUAAAUUCUCAGACAAAGAAGGCCCUGACGUGGUUGGCUAAAAUUUCAACAGACAAGCUUGCAGGAAUGGAAACAAAUGGCAUCAGGGGUCCUAUUUUAAACAUUUGUACUGCAUCUAAUAGACAUUUCCACAAAAUAUUUCAAGCAUUUGGCCUCUUAAAGAGAGUAGAGAAAGGUGUUUGCAAGUGGUACUACCCUCAACAUCUUAACAAUUUGACUUUUGAUGUGGCUGCCCUUGGCAUGGCUCUCCGUGAACCAUUAGAUUUUGUUAGGUUAUACUUGUCAAGAGCUACCCUGGUAGUUGUUCCAGCAAACUUGGUUGAUCAUUGGAAAACGCAAAUAGAAAAGCAUGUGAGGCCUGGUCAAUUGCGGGUUUAUGUUUGGACUGAUCAUCAAAAGCCAUCUGUGCAUUGUCUUGCAUGGGAUUAUGAUGUUGUCAUAACUACUUUUAGUCGUUUGAGUGCAGAGUGGGGCCCACGUAAGAGGAGUGCUUUGAUUCAAGUGCAUUGGUUUAGGAUAAUUUUAGAUGAAGGGCACACUCUUGGGUCAAGCCUGAACUUAACAAACAAGUUGCAAAUGGCUAUUUCAUUGAUAGCUUCAAAUCGAUGGAUACUAACAGGAACUCCAACGCCUAACACUCCUAACAGCCAACUUCCUCAUCUACAACCAUUGCUAAGGUUCCUUCAUGAAGAAUCUUAUGGACUGAAUCAAAAGUCAUGGGAAGCUGGUGUGCUUAGGCCAUUUGAAGCAGAGAUGGAGGAAGGGAGGUCUCGUCUGUUACAUUUACUUCAAAAAUGCAUGAUUAGUGCUAGAAAGAUAGAUUUACAAAGCAUUCCACCAUGCACGAAGAAAGUUGUUUAUCUAGAUUUUAAUGAGGAGCAUGCUAGGAGUUACAAUGAAUUGGUAAUCACUGUACGACGUAAUAUAUUGAUGGCUGAUUGGAAUGAUCCUUCACAUAUUGAGAGUCUACUGAAUCCAAAACAGUGGAAAUUUCGUAGUGCAACUUUAAAAAAUGUGAGGCUUUCAUGCUGUGUUGCUGGACAUAUUAAAGUUACACAUGCUGGAGAAGAUAUUCAAGAAACAAUGGAUAUGUUAGUACAAAGUGGUCUGGACCCUACUUCAGGAGAGUAUACCUCCGUAAGAUAUAAUCUCUUGUAUGGUGGUCACUGUGUCAGGUAGUACCUAGGUUUUAUUCUUUCUUGUGGCUUUAUUUUUCUUCUGGUUGUUGCUGUUUAUUAAUUUUUUUCUUAAUAAAUUGUGAAGGUGCAAGGAAUGGUGUCGCCUUCCACUCAUUACCCCAUGUCGGCAUCUGUUGUGCCUUGAUUGUGUUUCUAUAGACAAUACCAAGUGUACUUAUCCUGGCUGCAGUAAAUUGUAUGAGAUGCAGAGUAGAGAGGCCCGACCUGAAAAUCCUAAACCGAAGUGGCCUGUACCCAAAGAUCUUAUUGAGCUACAACCUUCAUAUAAGCAGGCAUGGUUAAUGGAGAACUCAGUUAACAUUCAUCUUUUUUUCCCUCUUUCUGGUUUGCAAUGCUAACAUGCAAUGUUGAUUAUUUAAUACCCAGGAUAAUUGGGAUCCUGAUUGGCAAUCUACAUCUAGUAGUAAAGUCUCCUAUCUCGUCCAGAGGUUGAAAGCUUUGCGAGGAACCAAUGAAGAGACAUACUUCAAUACAGAAAAUAGCAAUGAUGAUUUGCAUAUUGAGAAUAGUUUGCAUAGAAGUGAUGACAAAUCAUCAAUUCAGACAUGUUCUAUGAGCAGCACUAAGACCAAUUUGAACCCUGAGAAAGUUCUGAUAUUUUCUCAAUUUCUUGAGCAUAUACAUGCCAUUGAACAGCAGGUACAGUUUUAUGCCGCAUUUUGUGUGUGAUCUUUCAUGAAUUGUUCUAUUUUAUUUUUUGGCAUCUGUGAAUUCUUUUGCAAAUGAUCAAACUAUUAAAUUGGAUUUCUCUUUGGCAGUUGACUAUUGCUGGUAUCAAAUAUACUGGAAUGUAUAGCCCAAUGCAUUCCAGCAACAAGGUAUAAUGCUGGAAUUUUCUUUUACUGUUUCUUAAAAUUAAAAUUUACUUUUGGUUUCUGACCGUUGGUUAAUUUGCCUUUUCCUUUUCCAGAAGAAGUCAUUAGCCAUGUUCCAGCAUGAUUCAAAUUGUAUGGCACUUCUGAUGGAUGGAAGUGCUGCAUUGGGUCUUGACUUGAGUUUUGUUACGCAUGUAUUUCUAAUGGAGCCAAUUUGGGACCGAAGGUUAAUAUAUCAAACUAAUAUAAUUUGCAAACAAGAAUAUAAAAUUAAUUUUUUAUUGCUUUUAAGACUGAGGGAUAAAAUGAUUUUGAGAAAUUUUAAAAUUCUACAUUAUUUAAUUUUCUUCUCAAGUUGAGCAUAGUAAAAUUUUCUGUGAACUUUCUGUGUGGCUAAUAUGCAUUGUCAAUACUGAACUUUUCUGUUUUGGGAUUUAGCAUGCAAACUGGAACCAUGCUGCAUAAAGUGACUGGCAGUGUAUCUCUUGGUUUCCCAAUUUGCUGGAUCCUUCUACUUCAACCGAAAUUGGCAUGUUUAUCCAGUUUAAUUAUUUUCUAACUUGACCAAAAUGUUUUCAGUAUGGAGGAGCAAGUAAUUAGUCGUGCUCAUCGUAUGGGUGCUUCUCGUCCUAUUUAUGUGGAAACAUUAGCAAUGCGUGGUACAAUUGAAGAGCAAAUGCUAGACUUUUUACAGGUAAAUCUCUAUAAAUUGAACUAUCUUACACCUAUUUGAGUGUACUACUAACAAUGAUGGGUCUCUUUGAAGGCCUUGUUAGUUUAUGUUGUCGUUCAUGUAUGUCACUGAAAAUUGUCUCCUCAAUGUCUUUUGUUUUGUUUAGCUUUUAUAUUGUUGUUGUUGUUCAUCUUUCAAUUUGUUGAUGGUUUAAGCAGGAUGCUGAUAACUUUAGAAGAUCACCAAUUAAGGAUGCUACCGAAUCUGUUGAUGAUAGUGGGGGACGAGGAUAUAGAUCAUUGCAUGAUUUUGCUGAGAGUAGUUAUCUACUGAAACUUAGAUCUGUGUAUACUAAUUUGGAAAGUCCAAAAGGUUUGUACAUACAGUUUUUCCUUAACUGUUUUUUGUUAGCAAACAUAGAUUCAACAGAAAGAUGAGUGAUAUUGCAUUUGAGAAAUUGAAUGCGAGUAGUUUUUAUGACUUCUAUUCCUUAACUGUUUAUUUGAAAUUUUUGCCUGAAACAAAAAGUAAAAAGGUUAUGGUUAUGUUUUCGCCUAAACUGACUAAUAAGAUGCUUUAAAGUUUAUAAGCCACCAGCUAAAAGUUUAUAAGCUUGCAUAUUAAAUUAUAAGUGUUUUGUAAAAUUAUUGGAAUAGUUGGUAAAUGUAAAAUAACAUAAACAUAUUGUAUAACUGUUUUAUGUGAAUUCUAUUUUUGUUUUGUAGUCAAAAACAUUUAAUUAAAAGCUAAUUAAAUAGUUCUGUUAAAGUAAAUACUAAAAUAUUAUAUGAAAUAAAUAACCCAAAAAUUAAUAAAAAGAGAAAAGUAAUUAAAAAAUAGUUACAUAUGAACAAUGUUGAAGAACAGAUCGAGGGUAAAGGUAUAUUAAAAUAGUAAGGAUAUAAAGGAAGGAAAAAAUAAACUACAUGCUUAUAAAUUAUAAGCUACCUGAAGUAGCUAUAAGUUAGUGAAAUAUACUUGUUUACCAAAUACCUUAAUUUGGUCAAACAAAGCUUACAAUGUAGUCAACUAAGUUACAAGUUUGCUUAUUGGACAUGCCAAACACACUAGAUGUUUGGAAGUGAUAAAGCUGUUGAAAUCCUACUAUGAUUUUCUUUUCGAGUGAAAGAAUCAAGUGAUACUUGCAUUGCUCAAAAGUCACAAGUUAUUGUCAAUUCACUUGGUGAAUUUUGGUUAAAUGAAAUAUUGUACUCCCUUCGUCCCUAAAUAUUAGACUCUUUUAAAUGAUUCACACCCUUUAAGAAAGUUAGUUAAUAUAUUUAAUAGUAUUAAAAUUGUUAACAAUUUGUUUUAUUUUGCCAAAGUUACCCUUAAAAUUAUUGGGACUCAUAUCUUUCCUUUCACUUAAUUACUUCCCCACUUAAUUAAUUAAUGUGUGUUAAUCUUAUCUAAUCCUUAUAAGAGAAAUAAUGAUUUAUCUUUUUAGUACAUAACAUUUAUUGUAAAGUAAUUAAGAGUAUUUGGAUCAAAAUAUAAUUAAUGCAAAAGACAACUUGAAACAAACAUAAUUGAAAAAAGACUCUUAUAUUUAGGGACGAAGGAAGUAUGUCCGAGCACUUUAAGCCUGUUGAAACUGAUGGCAUGCUCUGACCCCUCUGAAUAGGACACCCUCUCCUCUCAACUUUCCCUUACCAAAUUGUAUGUUUUUUGAAAAUGAAUUUAGGAUAUGCACUUGCACUUGAAUGAAUUCUUUUACUUUUCUUUAUUAACUUGUUAAUUUAUUUAUUUUUUUAGAAUAUAAUUAGAAUGUAUUGAGUUACACUGUCUUCCAAUAUGAAUAGUCAUAUAGGUGAAAGUUGUUGACUUUUAAAAGUCUAUCUAGAAUGAUUUCUAAUUAGUUGAUAAUGUAAAAAUCUUUAUACUAUCACUAUCUUAAUUAAACUCUUGUGAUAAUGACUUUUUUAUCCGUUUUUACUUCAGGUGUUUGAUUGAUCAACAUCAAGCAAGUACUGACUAAUUUACUUGGAGCAAGUCCUGUGUACAUUUUGCAAGUUUGCAUGCUCUUGAAUAUGGUUUUACUUUUUGAGUAUAUAGUCUUACAAGUGCUCAUCUAAUGAAAGAUGCUUCCAUAUGCAUUGGAGAGUGGAAACUAUUCUUUUUGUGCAGAUUAUGGAGCUAUUUGCAGCGUCGCUUCUGUUUGCCAGUGAUUAAUGAAAUACCGGAAGUGUCCCUGCUUAUUCUUAUGUAAAGGAUUUAGUCUAGUUGAUUUGAUGUGAUCUAGUAGGCAAUUUGGAGUCAAGUAUUCGAAUUGAAAUAAAAUGUUGAGUUAUUGGAAAACAAGUGUUCUCCCACACCCUUUCUCUUAACAGUAGGUAAUAUUGAAAAAUCAUAAUAACCCUUGCCCCCUAAAAUUGGUGAUAUCAUGUAUGUUCUUAUGACUAUCGAUUUCAUUAUAUGCAGCUAAUAUUGUAAUUAUUAGCAAUGAUCCCAGUGCUUAUUAGUCAACAGAAAUUUCAAGAUAUAUUAGCAAUUUGAGGGAGAAAAGGUUUCUGUUCAAUUUAUUCUCAUGUUAGCCUGGGUUUUUAAUUGAUUAUUAUGCUUUGUAGGUUUGUUCAUUUAGUCAUUUGAUUUUGUUGGUCAUUCGGAACGACCACCUGGAUAGUGUAGAAGUUCAAUUAGUUAUACAAUAGGAUAUAAUAUAUAUGGAUGGAGAGAUAAUGAUAAAGAUAGAUGGAUGAAUGGAUAGAGGUAAAGACAGAUGGAUAAUCUUGGAUUAAAUUUAAUUUUGGUUACGUAUGAGUAGAAACUCCCAAAUUCUAUAAUUGUAUUCACUCACAAGUUCUACUCCCAAAUUCAAUAUUCACUCACAAGACACAAGUUGAUUAUUAUGGGACAACAUAAGGGGAUAGGAUUACCUCCUAGGGGAGGAAAGAAAUUAAAAGUUAAUUUUCAAAAUAGUAACCAACCUCCCCGUAUCAAUGUGUUUUUUCACGUUAAAAAGGAAAAAUAAAUAUCACCAAUCAUGCUAUAGGCCUCAAUUUAGCCCAAAAUAUGCAGACAAGUCUAAAAUCCAUAAUUAACUAAUAAAAAUGGUCCUAAUGUAUUCCAAGCUUGAAAUCAAGAAUCGACCAAUCAAAAUAUUCUUAAAUAAUUACAGGUUCAAUUUAGGACUUAAUGACAAUACAAAAUCCAUACUUAAGCUCAAAAUAUUUGAUUUAAUCUUUCAAUCAAGUCCAUAACGACUCAUGGAUAGCUAACACCAAAUUGGAUGAAUUUCGACAAUUAGGUUUUUCAUAACUUCUCUAACUCUCUUGACGCUUUUGUCAUUAGAUACAAACCACAAAUGGUUCAAUUGUAAUUUGUCUUUGGUAUAUUGAUAGGUUCAAUAUUAUUUUUUUCCGUUCUUUCACUCCAAAGAUUGAAGGAAAAAGAAACUUUAUGUUAAAAAAAUGUAACUUAAAAUUAUAUUUUCUUUUCAUCCUUUGGUCUCUUCUGCUUCUAAUAUUAUCCAGAAAUAAUGAAUUGAGUUCAUAUAAACAUUUUGGAUGCUGCCAUUGAAAUAGUGGUUCUUGCUAUAUUUCACAGGGCCUCACCCAUUUUAUAAAGUAUUUUUUUCCAUGUUUAAUGAUAGUUAAAAAAUAUUCGAUAGUAGUAGUAGUAGUAAAUUUGCUAUAAUUUUGACAAAAAAAUGAGUAUUUUAUUAAACUCACUACAAAUUUCAUAGAAAAAUUUAUUUUUUUCUGCACAAUUUCUUACAAAAUUUGUUUUGUAUUAUAAACUUACAUAUUUUUUCUCAAAAAAAUUACAAUAAAUUUUCCAUUUUUUAAAAUCAGUACCUUAUAAUUUAUUUUUUUAAAAAAAUACCUUUAAGAGUGCUACUAAAUUUCCUUAAAUUCACUAAGAAAUCAUAAAAAAAAUAGUUUUUUCUGCAAAGUUUUUUUUACGAAAUUUUUUUUGUAUAAAAAAAAUUCUUUUAGAUUUUCCAAAAAAAAAUUACAAAUAAAUUUUCCAUUUUUUAUAUAUUCGGUACCAAAUAAAUUGUAAGAAAAACCUUAGGAGUGCUAUGAAAAUAAAGUAAGGAAAAUAUAUUUUAAUAUUAUAAAAGUCAAUUAAUUAAAAAAAUAGUUAAUAUUUGAAUAGUAUCGCUAAAUGCUUAAAAUUAACUAUAACAAAUGAUAUUAUAUAAAUCAUUAUUUUAAUUUGUAGAUUAUAGAUUAUUUUAGCCGUUUCAAUUUGGUUUUUCUCUGCCACUUCCAAAUAUAAUUGAAUUUUCAAAAGUAUAAUUUACUUAUAUAUAUUUUUAUUUGAAUAAAUUUUGGAAGAAGAGAGCUAGGUUAAGAUUAAUGUCUGUCCUUACUUAAAUCCUUUCUAAAAAAGGAACAAUUUAUGAGUGAAAAUUAAUAAGCUUAAACAUUUUAGUCUCAAGAUUGUCUCUAAAUAAAAAUAAAGCAUUUCUAAUUUAAUUGAAUGCAUGUACAUAAGUGAAAGCUACCACACGUAGUUUUGGAUUACAAGGUGUUUAUAGUCCGACAGUUUCUAUGUGAUACAUAAUUGAGUUUUUCAAUUUACUAAAAAAAUUAAUAAUAUUCCCUUAUGUGUCAUAUUAACAUAGAUUGAAAUCAUAGUGGUCCCUAAUCAUAUGCAGAUAAGGCCUCUUGAUGCCAAGACCUUUAAGUAGCUGCCUAUCAUUUUGGAAGCAUGUGUAGUAGGAGGUAUUUCUUAGAAUUUGACAUCGAUGUUUUAAGAGAAUCAGAUGAGUCAUCAAACUGAUAAAGAUAAUGGAUUAAUAGGUCACUAAUCAGAUCAAAAUUUCAUUAAUCAAACUGGUUUAACUUGAUAUAUAUUAAAAAAAUUAUAAAAAAUAUAAUUAAUUAAUUUUAUUUAAUCAUUCAAUACUCUAAAUUUAAAAUGAUUGUCGUUAUAAAAUACCUAAUAUAUCAAAUAGUCAUCAAUAUUCAUGUCAAUGCAACUUUAUAAAUAAGUUUCAAAUACAAACAAACAUUCAAUGUGUUAAAAAUAAAAUUAAGUUUACAAAAAAUUUAUAUAUAUAUAUAUAUAUAUAUAUAUAUAUAUAUAAAAUAACACUUGAUUCAAUCAAAGACUCAAUGGAUUUAACCUGGACUACACCAAUUCUAAUAUAUUUACGAUCCCGACCGGUGUGUUUAUUGGAUUCCGAUUGAAUUCUGUCCAAUCCGAUUCUUAAAGCAAUGCGUGACAUGCGUCCAAGUUAACCUAUUUUGGUCGAUGGUGGAGGGGAGCGAAUCUUCCGCUCAAUAAUGCAUUUACUUGACCAAUAGUGUUAGUAAUGCAUGCUUGAUUUCUUUAUGCAAGAUUUUGAUUCUGGGCUUUGUGUAUAACAAUAAUUUCUAAUAGAACAUUUAAUCCCAUUAUAUUCUGAAAUUUACACAAAAGCUGAGUUCUAAGAUGGGUUCUGCAAUUCACAUACAUUGUUGCUGAAAUCCAGCAUCAGUACUUCAAAUUCCACUUGUCAUGCUUGAUUACGACGAACGAAUGCCGACACUACGCUGGCUUUGGACCAUAAAUUUAAGUAAAUAAUUAAAACCAGCGUUUUUAAGUUACACACUCAUCAUAUAAUGUGGUCUUUAACAUCUUGAUUGUGACACUACACAUGCUAUAAUUUGCAUGUAUAGUGAUGCAAUUUGACCGUAGAAGUAAUUUUAACGUUACUAUUAAAUCCUUUUUUCAACUUGCCAAGGCUUGUGGGGUUGUCGCAUUUAAUAUAAACAUGUCUUGAAGUUUCUCACAAGAUAAGGAGUGUCCCCUCUCAUUGAAAUUUAUAUCGAACUUUUGACUUUUCAAUAGAAAAGCAUGAAAUUUAUUGAAUUUGAAAUUUAAAAAAUGUUUUUUUUAACCGAGAGACAUUGAAAUAUUUUAUUUGUCACUCAACUAAUUUUCUUUUAUCAUAUGGUCCCAUUUUAAGAUAAAAUAAUAUCUUUAAUUAUAACUUAAUUCUCAAGUUAGAGAUCAAACAUUAUACCUUAAUUAGUUAAAAAUCCAACUGUGUGAAAUCACUUCUAUCAACAACGAAUUUUGGCCCAUCUUGUGCUAACAACUAAGUUGUUAUUAAUUACUAUACAGAUUGCGUCUAGGUUCUUCAUUUACAAUACCAUGGGACCUAGGAGUCUCAAUCCCUUUUGAAUAAUCCACACCAAACUUUGGCAUAUAAUACAAUGACAAAGCAAGUCAUUAAUGACCUAGAUUGAGACCUAGCACCUACACCGAGCCCUUACUAGUAUAAAAACCGAACACUAAGUGUGAGUUAUGCACACCAACACCAAAACAAACCCACUAAGAUGGCUUCCUUUGUAUCCUUCCUAGUGCUGCUUCUUGCAGCCCUUAUCCUCAUGCCUCAAGGGCUUGCUACUUACUACAAACCAAUUAAGAAGCCACCAGUGUACAAGCCUCCAGUGUACAAGCCACCAGUGUACAAACCACCGGUUUAUAAGCCAAAACCACCGGUUUACAAGCCGAAACCACCGGUUUACAAGCCACCAUAUAAGAAGCCACCAUACAAGAAACCACCUUAUGGAAAGUACCCUCCAGUAGAGGACAACACCCAUGCCUAAAGCAAGCAAUGAGGUCUAUUAUCUACUUAAUAAAUAAGAGGAACUGCUUUGUGUUUUCUAGCAUUGUGACUUACAACUUCGUAGCAAUGCAUAUUCUUGACUCUUGCAUGCACUUCAAUCCUUCGUAGCAUUAAUGAUGUGGCCAAGUCAUCAUGAGCAUCAUACUUAUUUCUUUGUGAAUGUAAAUCAAAAUUAUAAGAGAGAAAAUGGUGCUUUUGUACUACAGAUUACUAUAAAUAAAAAACUUUUAUGGUUUUCAGAUUGUGCUGGUUGAUUGAUUUGCUCUACCAUUAAUUAUGACGAAACGUAGUUUUUUUUUUUCUCUUUUUUAAUCCGUAAAAAUAAAAAAAAUAAAAAAAUAAAUUUAUAAUAAUUCACACUUUAUUUAAUUAAUCGAAAUAAAUUCCAUAAUAGAUGAUACAUAGUUUGACAUACUAUUGUUAAGCUUAAGAUUAAAGAUCGACCCUAUGUUGCAACUAAACUUUCUACAAUCAAUUUUAUAAAUUGGAUUGGUGCAUGUAAGUCUAGCUAGCUAGAGGCAGAAGAACAGUACUAGAGUAGUAGAUGGAAGCCACUCUCCACGCACCUCAAAUAACUCGCAAUUAAACUUGAGCAUAACAUCAAUAGCGACUUAAGUUAAUUUCAAUUAUGGGCUCUAUUUGAACAAAUUUCUCUAUAAAUAUUUCCAGAAGAAAAUAUUAAGAAAACAAUAAAUUGAACUUCUCAUUUAAGUUAAAAUAAACAUAUUUGUAUAUUUUUUAUAUAAAAACUCUCAUUUAACUUCUCUUAAAAAUAUUGAAGUAUAUAAAUUAAUUUUAGCUUAUGAAAAAAAAAAUCAACUUAUUUUAAUUUUCUAUUCUUAAAAAGCCAUAGUUAUAGUUAAUGUGUACAAAGACCAGUUCCUACGAGAGUUGCUGUAUCCUCCUAAACCAAAUAUCCGAAUACUCCUACUCAGUAAGAAUAUUUUGAUAUCUGUUAAUAAUUUUAUAAUAAAUUAUUUAUUUAAUUUGACAUUUUAAUAUUUAAUUUCUUUCCAAGUUUACCCCUUUUCCAUAUGACCAGUCAACUUAUCCUCUUCAUUCGACUUUAAAAAGAGUGGGUGGUGGUGCGGUGAAGCUGAAAACCACACACAAUGAUGGUGGUGGAGAAUGUGAAAAUGGUUGUGGUCGGAGAAGGAGGUACAAGGGACAAAGUUAACUGAGGAAAAAAAAAACUCAGCGUGAGAGAGGGUCUUUUGAAAAAAAGGACAAAUUUGGAAAGGAGAAAAAAAGUUAAAAAGUGUGUUAACAAGUGUGAAUGCUUAGGUGAUUCAGUUACUUUUUCGCCACAUAUGAUCGGAGGAAUAAACAUUUCUCUUUUUCAUAUUACUAUUUUUGUAUGUUUGUCUACACGUACAUGUGGACGGUUAUUUGUAUCAAGUAUCAACUACAUAUGGGUGUCAAAAUUUAAAACUGAACCGAAUUUAAUGAAUUGAUUCAACAACUCUAAUAUAUAUGUGAUGUGAUUUGAAUUUUAAUAAUUUGCGUACGAUUUUAAUUUAAUUUUGAACCUACUUCAGUACAAAAAUUUACGUAUAAUCUUACUACAAGUACUUAAGUCACCACAAUCAUCUACACUCACAUCUUGAAAAAGUGACAUUGAUAGCAAAUUCAUGAAGUACUCACAGCUAACGUCAUUUGAUGGUUGAAUGAACCCCUCAGCUACCCAUAGCUGAAUGAGUGUUCUCUUAUCAAACUCAAAACCUUUUGGAAACAAUGAACAAUAAGCAAAACAGUUUUCCAAAAAUGAAGGAAGAUGGUCAAAACUCAGUUUAAGGAUUGCAAAGAUUUUGUCCUUCUCUUGAUCUAUCUUUGAAAACCCAACUUCCUUAGAGGCUAUUACUAUGCGCACCCAGCAUAAUUACUGGUACAUCCAGCAUAACAGCAUAAUUCCCGUUUUGUCCUUUCCUAAAAUUGAUACAAAUUGUCAAUUCAUAUAAGAUUUACGGAUUGUCCAAUCUGUAAGUAGCCCAAAUAUUUUUUUAAUUUUUUUUUUAAAAAAAUAUGUUUUAUGAAUUAAUUUAAAAUUAAUGAUUCAUGCAAGAAUCAAACUUAUAACUUUCACGUUAUUAACACGACAUUCUAACCAAUCUCAAUAUUCUUGUCAACCCUUUUAAGUUAUUUUCUUUAUGUUAGUUUUUAACCGAUGUUGAAAGUGCCGAUGUUGAAUGUAUUAUCGUUAACAUCGGUUUUAAAAAAACUGAUGUUAACGUUAAUUUUACAACAUCGUUUAUUUAAAUAACCAAUGUUGAUAAUAAGAAUUACACCCAAAAAAAUGUAUUAAUGUUGAUAGUUAACAUCGGUUUUUUGGAAAAAUCGAUGUUAACGUAACUUAACAUCGGUUUUUUUAUAUAAAAUUGAUGUUAACGUAUGUGUUAAUGUUGACAGUUAACAUCGGUUUUUUGGAAAAACCAAUGUUAACGUAACUUAACAUCGGUUUUUUUACAGAAAACCGAUGUUAACGUAUGUGUUAAUGUUGACAGUUAACAUCGAUUUUCUGUAAAAAAAAAGAAAACCGAUUUUAACGUACGUUAACAUCAGUUUUUUCCAAAAACCCGAUGUUAACGUAUGUGUUAAUGUUGACAAUUAACAUCGGUUUUUCCAAAUAAUCGAUGUUGUUUUCAGGAUUUUUUUUUAAAUAUUCUCUCUGUUUUUACAAAAAAAACCAAAAUUUAACCUGUAAAUUUAAAAUUAGACCACACAGCAUAUAUGAUUUGCAUUUUGCUUUCAAAUAGGUUUUAGCAGAAAACUAGCUAGUAAACUAUUAAAAUGAAACAUCAAUUGUAAAAAAUGUAAUGCAAAGUACGGUAAACUAAUUAAGUA
rnacentral:lncRNA from 1 species